CUAAUACAUGCAAGUCGAACGCGUCUCCGUUAAUGAUUUUAGGUGCUUGCACUUGAAAGAUUUAACAUUGAGACGAGUGGCGAACUGGUGAGUAACACGUGGGUAACCUGCCCUUGAAGUAGGGGAUAACACUUGGAAACAGGUGCUAAUACCGUAUAACAACCAAAACCACCUGGUUUUGGUUUAAAAGACGGCUUCGGCUGUCACUUUAGGAUGGACCCGCGGCGUAUUAGCUUGUUGGUAAGGUAACGGCUUACCAAGGCGAUGAUACGUAGCCGACCUGAGAGGGUAAUCGGCCACAUUGGGACUGAGACACGGCCCAAACUCCUACGGGAGGCAGCAGUAGGGAAUCUUCCACAAUGGACGAAAGUCUGAUGGAGCAACGCCGCGUGAGUGAUGAAGGGUUUCGGCUCGUAAAACUCUGUUGUUGGAGAAGAACAGGUGUCAGAGUAACUGUUGACAUCUUGACGGUAUCCAACCAGAAAGCCACGGCUAACUACGUGCCAGCAGCCGCGGUAAUACGUAGGUGGCAAGCGUUGUCCGGAUUUAUUGGGCGUAAAGCGAGCGCAGGCGGUUUUUUAGGUCUGAUGUGAAAGCCUUCGGCUUAACCGGAGAAGUGCAUCGGAAACCGGGAGACUUGAGUGCAGAAGAGGACAGUGGAACUCCAUGUGUAGCGGUGAAAUGCGUAGAUAUAUGGAAGAACACCAGUGGCGAAGGCGGCUGUCUGGUCUGUAACUGACGCUGAGGCUCGAAAGCAUG
rnacentral:rRNA from 1 species